AGAGUUUGAUCCUGGCUCAGGACGAACGCUGGCGGCGUGCUUAACACAUGCAAGUCGAACGGAGAGCGAUGGAAGCUUGCUUCUAUCAAUCUUAGUGGCGAACGGGUGAGUAACGCGUAACCAACCUGCCCUUCAGAGGGGGAUAACAACGGGAAACCGUUGCUAAUACCGCGUACGAUUAAGCUUCGGCAUCGAAGCUUAAUGAAAGGUGGCCUCUAUGUAUAAGCUAUCGCUGAAGGAGGGGGUUGCGUCUGAUUAGCUAGUUGGAGGGGUAACGGCCCACCAAGGCAAUGAUCAGUAGCCGGUCUGAGAGGAUGAACGGCCACAUUGGGACUGAGACACGGCCCAAACUCCUACGGGAGGCAGCAGUAGGGAAUCUUCCACAAUGGACGCAAGUCUGAUGGAGCAACGCCGCGUGAGUGAAGAAGGGUUUCGGCUCGUAAAGCUCUGUUGGUAGUGAAGAAAGAUAGAGGUAGUAACUGGCCUUUAUUUGACGGUAAUUACCUAGAAAGUCACGGCUAACUACGUGCCAGCAGCCGCGGUAAUACGUAGGUGGCAAGCGUUGUCCGGAUUUAUUGGGCGUAAAGCGAGUGCAGGCGGUUCAAUAAGUCUGAAGUGAAAGCCUUCGGCUCAACCGGAGAAUUGCAUCAGAAACUGUUGAACUUGAGUGCAGAAGAGGAGAGUGGAACUCCAUGUGUAGCGGUGGAAUGCGUAGAUAUAUGGAAGAACACCAGUGGCGAAAGCGGCUCUCUGGUCUGUAACUGACGCUGAGGUUCGAAAGCGUGGGUAGCAAACAGGAUUAGAUACCCUGGUAGUCCACACCGUAAACGAUG
rnacentral:rRNA from 1 species